rnacentral:tRNA from 2 species
GCGGGGGUUGCCGAGCCAGGAAAAGGCGCGGGGCUUAAGACCCCGUCCCGAAGGGGUCCGCGGGUUCAAAUCCCGCCCCCCGCA